GACGAACGCUGGCGGCGCGCUUAACACAUGCAAGUCGAACGGACAGGCCCUGCUUUUGUGGGGUGCUCGAGUGGCGAACGGGUGAGUAAAACGCGAGUAACCUGUCCUUGACUUUGGGAUAACUUUAGGAAACUGGGGCUAAUAUCGGAUAGGAGCUCCUGCUGCAUGGUGGGGGUUGGAGAGUUUCGGCGGUUGUGGAUGGACUCGCGGCUUAUCAGCUUGUUGGUGAGGUAGUGGCUUACCAAGGUUUUGACGGGUAGCCGGCCUGAGAGGGUGACCGGCCACAUUGGGACUGAGGUACGGCCCAGACGCGUACGGGAGGCAGCAGGCGGGAAUAUUGCGCAGUAAGCGGAAGCGUGAUGCAGCAACGCCGCGUGCGGGAUGACGGCCUUCGGGUUGUAAACCGCUUUCGCCUGUGACGAAGCGUGAGUGACGGUAAUGAGUAAAGAAGCACCGGCUAACUACGUG
rnacentral:rRNA from 1 species